rnacentral:lncRNA from 1 species
UUUAUUUUCUGGAUAGAAGUCCAAGGAGGAUAAUGUAGCCCCAGUCCUUGCUGUCACGAAACAGCAGGAGGCCAAGACGGUGUUGAAUCCUCUGUUUGAGAAAAGUCCUAAGAAUUUUGGCAUUGGAGAGGACAUUCAGCCCAAGAAAACCCCCACCCACUUUGGGAAUGACCCCACUAUAUCAGGUUGCAGUGGCAAACAGCUAUCCUCCAUAAGUGACUGAGAGUGCCUCUGGGAACAAACCAGUUCACCAGGCCUUGGAGCAGCAAACAUUUAAUUAACUGCUUAAGCUGGCUCACAAGUACAGAAAAGAGACAAAACAAGAGAAGAAACAGAGAUGGUUAGCCUGGGUUAAGAAGAAAGCUGCUGGCAAAGGGGAUGUUCCCACUAGGAGCCAACUUGUCUUUAAGCAGUGGUUAACACUGUCACCACCUUCACAGAGAAUAUACCUCAGCUGGUGAUGAUUGCACAUGACAUGGAUUCAAUCAAGCUGGUUGUUUUCCUGCCUGUCCUGUGUUAUAAGAUAAAGAUCCCUUACUGCAUUAUCAAGGGGAAGGAAAGACUGGGGCAGGUAGUCUAUAGAAAGACUUGCACCAAUGUCACCAUCACACAGGUUAACUCAGAAGAAAAAAGAUCUCUGGUUAAGCUGGUGGAAGCUAUCAGAACCAAUUACAAGGACAGAUAUGAGGAGAUCUAGCAUCAUUGGGAAGAUAACAUCCUUAGUCCAAAAUCUGUGACUCACAUUGCCAAUCUGGAAAAGGAAAAGUCUAAAGAACUUGCUGCUAAACUG